rnacentral:rRNA from 1 species
UAGGGAAUAUUGCGCAAUGGAGGAAACUCUGACGCAGCGACGCCGCGUGAGUGAUGAAGGCCUUCGGGUCGUAAAGCUCUGUUGCAGGGGAAAAAGAAAGUGAUUGUACCCUGCGAGGAAGGAUCGGCUAACUUCGUGCCAGCAGCCGCGGUAAGACGAGGGAUCCUAGCGUUGUUCGGAAUCAUUGGGCGUAAAGCGGGUGUAGGUGGCUUAAUAAGUCAGGUGUGAAAGCCCAGGGCUCAACCCUGGAAGUGCAUUUGAUACUGUUGAGCUUGAGUGUGGGAGAGGUAAUUAGAAUACCUGGUGUAGUGGUGAAAUACGUAGAUAUCAGGUGGAAUACCGGAGGCGAAGGCGGCUUACUGGCCCAACACUGACACUGAGACCCGAAAGCGUGGGGAUC